UACAAGAAAAUGUCUACAGAAGUGG
rnacentral:piRNA from 1 species